rnacentral:rRNA from 1 species
UACGUAGGUGACAAGCGUUGUCCGGAUUUACUGGGCGUAAAGAGCGCGCAGGCGGUCGAUCAAGUCGAGUGUGAAAGCCCCCGGCUCAACUGGGGAGGGUCAUUCGAUACUGAUCGACUCGAAGGCAGGAGAGGGUAGUGGAAUUCCCGGUGUAGUGGUGAAAUGCGUAGAUAUCGGGAGGAACACCUGUGGCGAAAGCGGCGCACUGGACCACUUCUGACGCUGAGGCGCGAAAGCUAGGGGAGCAAACAGG